rnacentral:rRNA from 1 species
AGUGAACGCUGGCGGUAGGCCUAACACAUGCAAGUCGAACGGCAGCACAGUAAGAGCUUGCUCUUACGGGUGGCGAGUGGCGGACGGGUGAGGAAUACAUCGGAAUCUACUUUUUCGUGGGGGAUAGCGUAGGGAAACUUACGCUAAUACCGCAUACGACCUACGGGUGAAAGCAGGGGAUCUUCGGACCUUGCGCGAUUGAAUGAGCCGAUGUCGGAUUAGCUAGUUGGCGGGGUAAAGGCCCACCAAGGCGACGAUCCGUAGCUGGUCUGAGAGGAUGAUCAGCCACACUGGAACUGAGACACGGUCCAGACUCCUACGGGAGGCAGCAGUGGGGAAUAUUGGACAAUGGGCGCAAGCCUGGUCCAGCCAUACCGCGUGGGUGAAGAAGGCCUUCGGGUUGUAAAGCCCUUUUGUUGGGAAAGAAAAGCAGCAGGUUAAUACCCCGCUGUUCUGACGGUACCCAAAGAAUAAGCACCGGCUAACUUCGUG